AAUUUACCUGCGUUUCUGAUCUCGUCAGAAACGCAACUUGGUAGAAUGUUUGGGUUAAUUAGUUUGGGUCGAUGCCUAAUAUGUGCCGUCCUAGAGCAGAUCAUUUGAUAAGCCUAUCUAGGAUUGCACUUAAUGGUUCACUUCAACGUCAUGUAAGCCGGGUCGUCAAAUUGGUCCAGCAUUACGCAGUCCGCCUUAUGUAUUUGGUCGAGAAAUUAUGGCAGUUGCCCGCUCAUAUCUUUCGACAGGAUAUGAAACGGCAGCUUUAUCAUACUUUGGCCAUCCUAACAGAAGCAGGUUUAACGGAUCAGAAAUUUAAUUCCGACUAUCAGUCACUGUAGAAAAGGCUGGACGUCAAGUUUUGAUAUUUGAAAAAUAUUGAUAGCCCGUCUUACUCCUAGAAGUUGACCUGUCCACGAGUUGGUGAAAAUCUCACCCCGCAUCCCCCUGGAAGAAACGAACAACCGGAAAACGGAAAUGGUGGCUGUAGAGUUUCAACGCAUACAUCGUUGGAUGAAUAAUUUGAAGAACUCUGGGAUUUAAUAGGAUCAGGUGUGAGGAGCCGGGAUUGAAAG